CAUCAGGAUGGUUCGUUCGAGGCUUCGUUCCCUUUCUAACCUUGUAGAACGUUGAAAGGACACUUCUGGCUGAUUGUUCGACAGUGACCCCCCUCUCUGACAAUUUAGCCUGGGGUGUAAUCGUUAGUACAAGUAUGGAACGCCGUUUGGGUCUUAAAGCACGUGGUCAAAACGCGAUCUUUUUAAUGCAGUUGCACACCAAAAAUAAAACGGGAGUUGCUAUUGGACAAAUUCAGAUAGGAUCCUCCUCGUUUCUUUCCGUUUGCAACCGUUUCAGCGUAAUGAAUAUCUGGAAUCCAUGGGACGUCCAUACCCCCCACCACUUCACAUUCAAACUUGGGUGGACGUGACAAAGACAACGUCCAAUGGACCCCAGACAGCACGGACCAAAGAUAGCGGGCGAUCUAUAAAAAUCCGCCUGCCGCAGAGAACACAGAAAUACGAAUUUGACAACCAGAAGCAUGUUGUUUAUAUAUUGUAACGACCCUGGGUUUAUAAGCGCGGAAAUCGACUCUGUCGCUCGGGCAUGCUUCUGCGGCAUAGUCGAUAGCGCGCCGGACCUCGGGCUCGAAGGGCGAGGGUUCGAGACUUGCUCCCUCCCUGCCUGUUUUAUUACAAUAUAUUAAUGCUUAAAUAUAGCGAUAAAUGUAUCAAUCGUAAUAGCUAACUAAUUUCUGUUGAGUGUGUUAGCAAGAAUCUUUCUAACGUUAAUACAUUGCAUUUGGUAGCGAGUUUCAUAACCUAACUAAUUAGUAGUCUAGCAGCAACAGACUAGCUAGUUUAGAGAUUUUUUUUUUUACAUGAGGCACCAAUACCUUGCUUGAUUUACAAUGCAAAUCUGAUGGCAUGAGCAACAGAACAGACUAGUUAGCUCCGUAGAAUGACGUCAAAGCGUAGACUUUCAAAUGGACCUAACGUUAGCCUUCUAACGUAUUUUCUCUAAGCCUGGUCCAAUAUCCCACGUCAAUAUCGGCGUGCCUUCUGUCCCUAAGGGUCUAUGCUUAUGAAUGAAGAUCCAACUGCGAGGAACACAAAGCCUGACCUCUUGUCGGUGUUGAGGAGAUGUCAUUGACAGCAACAUGCUUUUUGCCGGCAGCAGCAGCACCGAUGACCCCAUAUCUAGCGCUCUCUCUGUCGGUUCAUCUUUUCGUUUCUUGACCGCAAUCUGCAUGGGAAUCGCCGCAGCAUGACUUUUUCAGUUUGGAUAUGGGGGCCUCACCGUAACGUGAUUUUUUCGGAAGAUUUUUAUUUAUAUAUCCUUCGCCUUGCUGUGUUUCUUGUUUGGAAGCUUUGGUCUCCUCGUGAAGAAGGGUCCUCCUAAAAUCUGCAGAUUUGAAACUUCAAAGAGACGGUCUACUUACCUGUUGGACUUGUUUAACAAAUUAAUGGGACGAUUCACAGUGCCCCUUUUGGAGUCUGCACAGACGAGAAGAUUGGUGGUAUCACACAAUGUUGACAAGGCCCUUAAAGAAGAAAGGAUUGGAGAAGACACCCUGAAGGGAGAGACCUUGAAAUGGCUGAAAGACUGACUAACCUCUACGGAUCGGUGUCCCUAUACCGGGACGGUUGAACUAACGUGCGCUAAUGUGAUUAGCAUGACAGUUGCAAAUUCAAGACACUGUCAACUGGCUCUUCAGUGAGCAGAUGCUUGUUUGCUACAUCAACAUUCUCCGGAACACUUUCUGGCCCAACGGAAAACUGGCCCCCCAAAUCAAGGCUCGGUCCAACUCAGAACGUCAGGAGACCAAAGAGAGAGCACAACAGAAGCUACUAGACAAUAUCCCAGAUGCACUACAGAAUUUGGUGGGACAGCAGAGCGCCAGGUAUGGGAUCAUCAAGAUCUUCAUCUCCCUUCAGGAGACAUGCCAACAGGCAUCUACUUUAUGUUCUGAUGGAUAAUCCUCAAAGAGCUCUGUCCAGAACUCAACGUGGAGACGGACCAAAGCUGAUAGUGCGAGGCUUAUACUGUAUGUACACAACACAGGAUAGUGUAUGGUUAAUGUGGAGCAGAACCCUAAUUUUAAGGCUGCUCAUCCCAAAUUGCACUUUUGACCAGAGCCCCUCUUCUCCCAUAGGCCAUAAAGUAGUGCACUAUAAGGAAAAGAGUGUCAUUUGGGACUAACUCCGACACAGUGAAGGACAUGGUGGUGCUCCUGGAGAUCUAUGUGGGCUUAAGUUAUAUUGGUUUUCAAAAGAGAGACACUCAAAGGAUUAUGUAUUUUGAAGGAUUAUGUAUUUUCUUUUGUAAAUUUUCAUUUGUAUUCAACAGAUAGAUCAUGAAACAUGACAUCAACACAAAUGUACUAUGAUGUUCCAGCAGGGUACAGUUAAAAAUGUGAUUAAACUGAAUCCAAAUGGAUUAUGUAUUUUCUGUUGUUGUUCUGAGGUACUUUUUUUAUCUGAAUGCAGUUGAUUAUUUAGAGCUCAAACUAGGGAGACAAGCUUUGGUUCGUGUUACUGCGUUACAUAUUUUUGUUCAGUAGCUGAAUUUUGACAAAAAUGAGAUCAGUUCCACUGCCAAAGAUCCAUUGCAGAAAGCCAGGCUGUUUGAUUGAUGUCUUUGUUUGUUUUGGAUCCAGGUAGGAUUUCCAAAAUGUGAAUAGUUGUGAAAUGAUGAGUGUUGUGCCCAUAUGAAGAAAAAAAAAGCUGCAUACCAACCUCGGAUACAUUCCUGACCAAUAUGUUACAUGUAUAUGUUCUUUGUACAAUGGCUUCAUUGUGUAAUAUGUCAUGUAAAGUAAUUGUGACAAUUUUAUUUGUGAUUUAUUGAUAAUUAUUUUUUGAUAAAAAAUCAAAUCUAAGAGCGUUUAUAAGCAAUAAAUUGCUAAAGAAAAAUGUUUGACUUGUUAAAUCCUUUUUCAUUUAUACGCUUUAGGCAAAUUCCUUGUCAAUGUAAACUGCUCAAUUUUAUGAAUGACUGGAACCAACUGAAUUUGCAUUCUACAAAUGAGAAAAUGGCAUCUGAAUUUAAAGGAACCCAGUUUUGUGCAGAGUAGUACAGGUAACAGUUCUAACUUGUAGAGUCGAUAGCUUAAACAACAAUUCUUACUGUUAAGCAUUUACACUGAGCAUCACCAUAAUCUUAUUCAUACCACAGACUCACACUGAACAUAAGGCAUUCAGGUCUGAUGUUAUUUACUCAGGUAAUUCAUCUCAAUGGGACAGAGGAGGCUCCUUGUAUGUAGACUCCUUAGCCAGGGUCAUGAUGGUGGAACUUUACAUUUUGCCAAAGGUGGUGUCCAUCUGGCGGUCCUUGCACACUUCUGGGUUUGCCUGAGCAGCCUAGCCAAAGAUAAUCCAGAAGUUAGCCUUAGAUUAAGAAUGUAGCUAAAUCUUACUAAAAUACUAUCUUUAAUUGGCCUUCACGAAUGCUGCGUUCAUAGCAAGUGGGAAACUCAGAAAAAUACUAUUUGUAAUCUGGGAGCAACGUGUGUUCAUUUGCUUUGAACUCGUUGAGAACGCCGAUUGGCUAAUGGCAAACAAGGUGUGUCAACCAUAAACUAAAAGUACAGCUAUCAUGCUUGCAAACAAAUUAUAGUGUUCAUAAGCCAUAUUAAGAAAUUGUUUUUCAUAAGUGUUUUGUUGCAUUUAACUUCCAAAAAUACUGUUAGAGGUAAUUUCCUUGGUUAGCUGCCAAGGCAGCAUCUAUCAAUCAAUCAAAUGUAUUAUAAAGCCCUUCUUACAUCAGCUGUCACAAAGUUCUGUACAGAAAUAGAGCCUAAAAUC